rnacentral:rRNA from 1 species
UACAGAGGGUGCAAGCGUUAAUCGGAAUUACUGGGCGUAAAGGGCGUGUAGGUGGUUUUAUAAGUUUGAUGUGAAAGCCCCGGGCUUAACCUGGGAAUGGCGUUGAAGACUGUGAGACUUGAGUAGGACAGAGGAUAGUGGAAUUUCCGGUGUAGCGGUGAAAUGCGUAGAGAUCGGAAAGAACACCCGUGGCGAAGGCGGCUAUCUGGGUCCAAACUGACACUGAGGCGCGAAAGCGUGGGGAGCGAACAGG